rnacentral:lncRNA from 1 species
GCAGAGCUUUGCUGCAGAGGACCAGGAGAAGCAAUUACCGCGGAGGGUGUGCUGGGAUUGCAGACAUGUUAUAACAACUUGCUAGCCCACCGUACAGGAUGGGACCGAAGCCCAGACAAUGAUGAGUCGGUGGUGCAGAAGAUCAGAAGGGAAGACUGGAAGACCUUCCAGGAAGCUAAUGAAUCAUCAGACCGGUAGACCAGGUACCAAAGACAGAAGAAGAGACCACCCAGAAGCUGAGCCUGAUCAUCGCAUCAGCGCCUCCUGGCUGUGUUCUGUGACCUCUGCACAACUGGACUCCUAUUGCUCAGGCAGUGUUAGACUCCAAACCAGAUGGCUUCUCAGACCACAGCUGCAGCCCCCCUUCCCUGUCACAGCGAUGGACAGCGCCCUGCUGACAGCAGCAUGUCUGAAGGGCCAGCAAACAGGCUUUCCGGCAGCUGGAUUUGUCAGUAGGGCAAAUGAGUUUCCCAUCUUGGACACUGCAAAAUGCUACUAGUGUCCGCACUUCUUGUUUCCCACCUCCAUCUCUGCCACCUCACAGGGGCUCAGAGAGCCUGGCUGUAGGCCUGUGCUGUGGAACACCCUCUUUCUAGGGACCGAGAAGAAGGGCCCAGGCUCCUCUUCAGAGACUCGGGCCAUGCUAUUUGUCUCUGGUGCUCAAGCCAAACUCUCCUCAGAGCCCACAUGACACUGUCUGUCUGUCCUGCCUGCCUGCCUGUCUGGAGCAAAAGUAGCUCCUCAGAUGAACUCAUCACCAUGACAACUCAUCUGCGUGUGUCCUUGAGUCCCCAUCUGAGACCUUCGGUACGGUCCACUCAAGCUACUUAGCCAGCUCUGACCCCAGCUGGGCAGUUGUGUCUUUCCUCUUUGGGAAGGAUGGUGAGUGUCUGGGAAAUAUUUUAUCUGUCUAUCAUCAAGACCAUUUCAAAAAUCCUGACCAAGUGAAUAAAAUUAGUCUUCACCUCUGACCUUGGAGAUUUGGAAUUAUUUCAUAUUUGACUUUGAUACCUUCAUCUCCACAGCUGAAAUUUUAGUCUUCAUUGAACUAACCACCUUCAUCUACACA